GAUGAAGAACGCAGCGAAAUGCGAUAAGUAGUGUGAAUUGCAGAAUUCAGUGAAUCAUCGAAUCUUUGAACGCACAUUGCGCCCUUUGGUAUUCCAAAGGGCAUGCCUGUUCGAGCGUCAUUUGUACCCUCAAGCUUUGCUUGGUGUUGAGCGUCUUGUCUCUAGCUUUGCUGGAGACUCGCCUUAAAGUAAUUGGCAGCCGGCCUACUGGUUUCGGAGCGCAGCACAAGUCGCACUCUCUAUCAGCAAAGGUCUAGCAUCCAUUAAGCCUUUUUUUUUCAACUUUUGACCUCGGAUCAGGUAGGGAUACCCGCUGAACUUAAGCAUAUCAAUAAGCGGAGGA
rnacentral:misc_RNA from 1 species